rnacentral:lncRNA from 1 species
GUACCUAACCCUUUCAAUCAGAACCUCUCACCGUCUACUUUAGAGACUCCGCCUUCCACCACCGUCCACCGCCCGCCGGAAAUUGCCUACGGCAGCAACCGGCAGCCAGUCGAUCCCAAAAUUGCACAAAACAUCACUCUCCUCCUCCCCAUCCCAAAUUCCCACUCUAUUCACCGCGAAUCCCUAUGAAAUUGCCUAGAUUCUACAAUUAAUGGGCAGAACCCUAGCGUUGACUAGCUUUCUCCAGUGGCGGCGCCACCUCUAAACCCCACCAAGCUCGCACCCUGAAAUCCCCACGACCAUUCCACACUAAAUCCACAAAUAUCUUCCUUCAAAUAACUCCUGAACGCGAAUUUCAGAUCAAAUGGGUGAACCUUAAAAUCCCCAAAGCCUUGAAUGUUAGUGUUUGAAGAUUUUGGCUUAUCUUGAUGUUAUUCAUUUGUUCUUGUUUAGAACACACGAUUAAAAUCAAAAGCGGCCAAAAAUUCAAGAUUUGAAUGCUUUUCUUCUUUGUGUGCUGGACCAGAAUCAUUUCUAGGUAUUUGUUUCAUUUUUCUUUCUUUCUUAUUUUGUCUGUUGACUUUUAGUGAUGUUCCUGCUUCAUUGUUUUCUUUUUUCUUUCUCUUUUUCUGGUUGUUAUUUCCUUUCCGUCAAUCUUGCAUGUUGGUCUUAGAACGUAUUUGAUUACUGUUCAUUUUAUGUGGUUGAGUGAGUGUGCUUUAAAGUUUGCUUUGAGCCUGAAAUCAGUCAAGUCUUUCGGACUCUACAGGAAGAAUUGUAGGCUUCUAAGUCUUUUGAUUAUUAAUUGAGGCCUGAGGAUCAAUUAAACCCAAAAGGAAUUGAAUUGGGUAUAGUUCAUACCUACUAACUUGGGUUAGUUGAACUCGGGUUCUGCUUGGCUGGGAGGGUAAUUAACAGGGGUUUUAAAGGGUAAUUUAGGUAAUUGGUUUAGGGAAUCAAUGGUGUAACUGAAAGGGAAGCUUCUUCGAAGCAAACUUUUGGACUGUUUUGAAUCUCUGAAAACUAAAUAAGGACAUCUAAGCAAGAACAAAAACUAGAAAAAAGCAGUAUUGAGCAGACAAAACCUGGAAAAAAAUUAGACCUUAGAGCUCAAGAGACAAAAAAAUCCAGAAAAUUGCAAAUGCCUAAACAUUUUGAUAAAAAGUGUUCUAUUGAUUUUUAUGCUUUGGAUCUUACGGUUUUUAUUUUCUUGAAUCAAUUUGUGCUGUGUUUUGUGGUCGAAAUGAGUUGAUGUUGAGUCAUUUGAAUCCGAUUUGGAUUUUGCUGUGGUUCGAGUCUGUUCUGAUUGCUUGUUUCCUGAUCUGAGUCUGCUGUUGUUGCUUCUCUUUGAAUUCCCUCUCACUUUUGGUUUGUGUAUUGCUAUAUCAAGUACCCCUUGGAUCUCUUGUCAUGCGAGGUACAAGUCUGAAUCUCUGUAGUUCGAGUUGAAGAAAAUAAUCAAUGUUAACAUUUUGUUUGUUUGUCCAUGUCAAAUAAUUGUGUUUGGUUUAUCUUACUAUAGUUUUGUGCACUUCAUUUUCUUUUAAGGGUGGAUUUGAAGCAGUGAAACGAACGGCACGACGUAUACGUCAUGAUUCUAACCUAUUUGUGUUUCAGCUAUAUUUCUCCUUAAUAUUAAAUAUAAUAGAUUUAGUUCUUGUCAUUGUAAAUUAUCAUGAGACUUUUAAGAUUGCUUAUGGAUUCUAGACUUUUGUUUAAUUUUGCUAAAGAUUAAUGUUGCUUCCGCUAGGUUUUCCAUUCGAAUUUGUUAUGUGUCGAGUACUGGUCUGUCGUUUGUGUUGAUUUAAACAAGUUAAGCUUUGUAGGUGUUAAAAAUAAAAGUAGAAGUUUUAUUAGGCAAUUUUUGUUGAUUAGCUAAGGUUCAGAAAUAAUUUCUAAUUUAAUCUCACUUUGCUUUUUUCAAUUAAUGUUUUCAUGUGAUUUGAACAGCAAUAAUGUUUAGUAUCAAGAAUGGUUCAAUUGUGGUAUUCAAUCAUUAAUUGUUGGAUUUCCUAAAACGGCUUGAUCUUUGAAUGUGAAAGUAAUUGAAAGUAAUUGACUGAUAUUUUCUUCUAUGGGUGGAUUCGAAAUGGAAUGCCAUGGUCUGCUGAAGCGACUUGUUCCUCAAUU